rnacentral:sRNA from 1 species
AGCCAGUACAGCCCAUAGUCUCCAAUGCGAUGGUUCUCAAAUAUAUCCUUGUGGCAACUCUGAUGCUGACUCUAGUAAAUUGUGGCUACAUUAAGUGGGAUACCCCCGUUACAAUUUGCCAUGUGAUUGGACGAUGCCAAGAACCAGAUGGAGAAUAUUGCCGUGGACGCCUACUCGAAGAUAGAAAAUGUGGUAUAAAUCGUUGCUGCCUACGUAAAUAUGAGGCAAAAAAA